GGCUCAGGACGAACGCUGGCGGCGUGCCUAAUACAUGCAAGUCGAGCGAAUCAAUAGGAGCUUGCUCUUGUUGGUUAGCGGCGGACGGGUGAGUAACACGUGGGCAACCUGCCUGUAAGACUGGGAUAACACCGGGAAACCGGUGCUAAUACCGGAUAAUUCUUUCUCUCUCAUGAGGGAAAGUUGAAAGUCGGUUUCGGCUGACACUUACAGAUGGGCCCGCGGCGCAUUAGCUAGUUGGUGAGGUAACGGCUCACCAAGGCGACGAUGCGUAGCCGACCUGAGAGGGUGAUCGGCCACACUGGGACUGAGACACGGCCCAGACUCCUACGGGAGGCAGCAGUAGGGAAUCUUCCACAAUGGACGAAAGUCUGAUGGAGCAACGCCGCGUGAGCGAUGAAGGCCUUCGGGUCGUAAAGCUCUGUUGUUAGGGAAGAACAAGUACCGGAGUAACUGCCGGUACCUUGACGGUACCUAACCAGAAAGCCACGGCUAACUACGUGCCAGCAGCCGCGGUAAUACGUAGGUGGCAAGCGUUGUCCGGAAUUAUUGGGCGUAAAGCGCGCGCAGGCGGUCCUUUAAGUCUGAUGUGAAAGCCCACGGCUCAACCGUGGAGGGUCAUUGGAAACUGGGGGACUUGAGUGCAGAAGAGGAAAGCGGAAUUCCACGUGUAGCGGUGAAAUGCGUAGAGAUGUGGAGGAACACCAGUGGCGAAGGCGGCUUUCUGGUCUGUAACUGACGCUGAGGCGCGAAAGCGUGGGGAGCAAACAGGAUUAGAUACCCUGGUAGUCCACGCCGUAAACGAUGAGUGCUAAGUGUUAGAGGGUUUCCGCCCUUUAGUGCUGCAGCUAACGCAUUAAGCACUCCGCCUGGGGGAGUACGGCCGCAAGGCUGAAACUCAAA
rnacentral:rRNA from 1 species